rnacentral:lncRNA from 1 species
CAAUACUCAAUCACAACAAUUAAAACCCUAAGAAAACACCUCAAUGCUGACCUUUUAACGGAAUUCGAAAACCGGACGCUGAAUCCACAGUCGAUAGGAAUCAAGAAGCUCGAGUCGUUGGAAGUUCCGUCAUCUAUUUCCUGUACUGAAAAUUUCAAAAAAUGAAUUGUGAGAUUUACUAAAAAGUACUAAUUGUGAAAUUAGAAAAACAGUAGUAAAUAAAAUGGAAAACAAUAAACAGAAAAAGCACUAACAAAUCGAAUGAGUGGAAUGAUCGGAGAGGUUGGAAUUGUAUGAUCGUUUUGUUGCUUUGUCGUCGGGGAAACGUCGAUAACCACCGGAAUAAUCUUGCUGUGGCGCUGACGGAGUUGGGAAGGUUAAUUGAAAUUGAAACGGUGAGGGAUGUGAUGAAGCCGUUAUGGAACUCUCAAUGAGUAAGAAAAAUUGAGGUUGUGAGUGAGAAAACAAAAUUGUCUGUGCUGUGAGAGGGAGGGAAAAAAGUGUGAGAAGCAGGAAACAAAAACGGAUACAAUGGAAAAUCA